UACGUAGGUCCCGAGCGUUGUCCGGAUUUAUUGGGCGUAAAGCGAGCGCAGGUGGUUUAUUAAGUCUGGUGUAAAAGGCAGUGGCUCAACCAUUGUAUGCAUUGGAAACUGGCGAUCUUGAGUGGAAGAGAAGUAUGCGGAAUGCGUGGUGUAGCGGUGAAAUGCAUAGAUAUCACGCAGAACCCCGAUUGCGUAGGCAGCAUGCCGGCUUCCUACUGACGCUGAAGCACGAAAGCGUGGGGAUCGAACAGG
rnacentral:rRNA from 1 species